AUUGAACGCUGGCGGCAUGCUUUACACAUGCCAGUCGAACGGCAGCGCGGGCUUCGGCCUGGCGGCGAGUGGCGAACGGGUGAGUAAUGCAUCGGAACGUGCCCAGUAGUGGGGGAUAGCCCGGCGAAAGCCGGAUUAAUACCGCAUACGACCUGAGGGUGAAAGCGGGGGACCGAAAGGCCUCGCGCUAUUGGAGCGGCCGAUGUCGGAUUAGCUAGUUGGUGGGGUAAAGGCUUACCAAGGCGACGAUCCGUAGCUGGUCUGAGAGGACGACCAGCCACACUGGGACUGAGACACGGCCCAGACUCCUACGGGAGGCGGCAGUGGGGAAUUUUGGACAAUGGGGGCAACCCUGAUCCAGCCAUGCCGCGUGCGGGAAGAAGGCCUUCGGGUUGUAAACCGCUUUUGUUCGGGAAGAAAUCCUCUGGGCUAAUACCCCGGGGGGAUGACGGUACCGGAAGAAUAAGCACCGGCUAACUACGUG
rnacentral:rRNA from 1 species